UACGUAGGGUGCGAGCGUUGUCCGGAAUUAUUGGGCGUAAAGAGCUCGUAGGCGGUCUGUCACGUCGGCUGUGAAAUCCCGAGGCUCAACCUCGGGUCUGCAGUCGAUACGAGCAAACUAGAGUAUUGCAGGGGAGACUGGAAUUCCUGGUGUAGCGGUGAAAUGCGCAGAUAUCAGGAGGAACACCGGUGGCGAAGGCGGGUCUCUGGGCAAUAACUGACGCUGAGGAGCGAAAGCGUGGGGAGCGAACAGG
rnacentral:rRNA from 1 species